UACGUAGGGGGCUAGCGUUGUCCGGAUUUAUUGGGCGUAAAGAGCGUGUAGGCGGCCAUGUAGGUCCGGUGUGAAAACUCGAGGCUUAACCUCGAGAUGUCAUCGGAAACCAUUUGGCUAGAGUCCGGAAGAGGAGAGUGGAAUUCCUGGUGUAGCGGUGAAAUGCGCAGAUAUCAGGAAGAACACCAAUGGCGAAAGCAGCUCUCUGGGACGGUACUGACGCUGAGACGCGAAAGCGUGGGGGGCGAACAGG
rnacentral:rRNA from 1 species